GCCCAGCCCCAGCCGCAAGUCCUGCCAGGGCAGUGCUGGCUGGGGGCAGGGAGUUGGAUGGAGGCGUGGGCAGGUGGCUGGCUUGGGGGCUCCUCCAUGAUGCUGAAACCCCAGCCUGAGGGAGCUGCGGGAGAUGGGGCACCUGCCCUGCAGAUUUGCAUGUGGGGUAGAGGCAGUGUGCACGCUGUUAGUGUGGCUCUGUGCCUGUGGUCUGUGCUGGGACCCUGCCCAUCCUUCUGGGCAGGGUGCAAGGCCCCCGGAGCAAAGGUGAUGGUGCGAAGUGACUCCUCAGAAAGCCCAGUCUGAGCCCUCAUUUGAAAGGCUCUGUGUCUGAAGCAAGGCACGGGGUGGGCUGGGAAAAGCCUUGGGCUGCCUUUCCAUAGGGCAAGUGUCUUCUGACUUUGCCCAGGGUUCCGUGUGGUCGGAAAAGUGCAGGCACCCAGUUUGUGUAAAGGGGAGCCUGCGACCGAGAGACCAGACUAAGAAGGCAAGCGGCCAGGAGGUGGGAUCAGGUUUCAUCGUCGAUGCUGUCCCUCGCCUGUGCUGUUGGCCUGGGUGCAGCUCUGCCACGAGUGAUCUUUUCUGGGACCCGCCAAACGGGGCAGCCUUUUGGCAUGAAGCCCAAGACACAGGUGGGGGCUCUGGGUGCCACAGCAAGGGGCCGUGUCCCUGACAGUGAAUCUUUGAGCGGGUCUCUGCUGAAAUGCUACUGCACGAGGUAUGUACCAGGCGACUGAGGCCCCAAAGCAUGCCUCCUGGCCAGGCGGAUGCCUCUCAGAGGACUCCUCGUCCCCAAAGGUAACGGGCAAUCUGCAGGUUGGUGAGAGAGCUGCUGGCAGCAGGCACGUAGCAGGGAAUGGGGACAGGUGGCGGGAGAGGCACGCUGGCCUCUGCCUGCAGUCUCUGGGUAGGGGUGUGAGCUUCGUGGAGAUCAGUGAGGCGGCUGUCCCAAGAAUGGAUUCUGGUCGGUGUCCGGAUACAUGUAAACCUGUGCGUUGUCAUGUGCCUGUGGGGUCAGAGGGUGGUGGUAGAGGUGCACAGGGGAGAGGCUCAGCCGCACCUCGGCCUGGCCAGCCGGGCUGGCCUGAUGUGGCAGCUGCAAGCGGAAGCUGCGCGUGAGGAAGACGGGUCUGGCCAAGGUAUCGUGGCUCUGUCCCCCAUCACUGGCAGCGGCCGGCAGCCAGAUCAUUCCAGUCUCGUGGUGCUUAGGGUUGACAGGGACCUUGCUGGAUCGUCAAAUCUGACCUGAUGCCCUGGGCAGGAGCAGAUGCUGGGGUCCUGUCAUCCAGGCCAACUCUGUCUAGCCUCCUCUCCGAGACCUGCAAGGUAAGAGAGCGCCGCCUGCCUUGGGAGCCCAUUCUGGAGCCUGGCCAUCCUAACGGUAAAGUCCCGUCUCCUGACGUCCAUCCUAGAUUCAUAGAUUCAUAGAAGUAGGGUCGGAAGGGAUCUUGUCUAUCAUCAAGUCUGACCCCCUGCCCUAGGCAGGACAGGAAACCUGGCUCAAAUGACCCCAACCAGGUAGACGUCAAGCCUCCUUGAAAGACCCCCAGGGUAGGAGCUGUCACCGCUUCCCUUGGCAGUCGGUUCCAGAUCCUAGUCACCCUGAUUGUGAAGUAGGGCCUUUGGAAGUCUAGUCUAAACCUACUCGCUAACAAUUUGUGGCUGUUUUUCCUUGUUAUGGGGCGGGAGAAGUGCUAGGGAGAACUGGGUCUCUGUCAAAGCCUGCUGGUCCCCCCCUGGGGAGCUUAUAGAUGGGCACCAGGCCCCCCUCAGCCUUCUCUGGUGUAGGCUGAACAGGUUCAGGUCCCGUAGCCUCUCUUUGUACGGUCUGCCACGCUGCCCCGGAUCAUGUGGGUGGCCCUCCUCUGGACCGUCUCGAUGCUGUCGACAUCUCUCCUGCAGUGCAGCACCCAGAAGUGGACGCGGUACUCCUGCUGCAGCCUGACCAGUGUCGCAUAGAGGAGGAGGAUCGCGUCCUUGGACCUGCUUAUGAUGCAUCUGCAGGUUCAUGACAAGAGGUGAUGCCGACUUUGAGAGCCUUGUUAGCCGCUGUGUGAAGAACAUUCCCCAGCCUACGCUUGCCACCCCUGCAUCUGGAUUGCCGAGCGAGAUGUCGAACGGUACGGGCCCCAGGCCUGAGGCCUCGGGACCUCCCUCAAGCAGAUCUGCUGACCAGGGUGUCCCUGAGAGGGGUGUGGCCCUCACCCUCACCACCCACUCAUUUACUCCAAGCCCAAUGAACAGAUGUCUUCUUUAUUAUAUGUAUCACUAUAUACAGGAAGAGAGAGAGAUUAAUUUAAAAAGGCGUAUAUACAUAUAUAUGUUAUUAAUAGAGAAUAAUAAAACCAAUAAUUUGAAUACAA